GACGAACGCUGGCGGCGUGCUUAACACAUGCAAGUGGAGCGACGAACCAGGCUUCGGCCUGGGGUAAAGCCGCGAACGGGUGAGUAACACGUGGGUAACCUGCCCCGAUGACUGGGACAACCCGGGGAAACCCGGGCUAAUACCGGAUGUGCUUUCACCACAUCAGUGGUGAAAGUCAAGAUAGCUUCGGCCUUCGCAUCGGGAUGGGCCCGCGGCCCAUUAGCGUGUUGGUGAGGUAACGGCUCACCAAGGCGACGAUGGGUAGCUGGUCUGAGAGGACGAUCAGCCACACUGGGACUGAGACACGGCCCAGACUCCUACGGGAGGCAGCAGUGGGGCAUCUUGCGCAAUGCGCGAAAGCGUGACGCAGCAACGCCGCGUGAGUGAAGAAGGCCUUCGGGUUGUAAAGCUCUUUCAGUUGGGACGAAGCCCGGCUGGUGAAUAGCCAGUCCGGGUGACGGUACCUUCACAAGAAGCCCCGGCUAACUACGUGCCAGCAGCCGCGGUAACAC
rnacentral:rRNA from 1 species